GUUUGAUCAUGGCUCAGAUUGAACGCUGCGGUAUGCUUAACACAUGCAAGUCGAACGGUAACAGCGAAGCUUGCUUCUGGCUGACGAGUGGCGGACGGGUGAGUAACGCGUGGGAAUCUGCCUACUAGCGGGGGAUAGCCCGGAGAAAUCCGGAUUAAUACCGCAUACGCCCUACGGGGGAAAGCUGGGGAUCUUCGGACCUGGCACUAGUAGAUGAGCCCGCGUUAGAUUAGCUUGUUGGUGGGGUAAUGGCCUACCAAGGCAACGAUCUAUAGCUGGUCUGAGAGGACGAUCAGCCACACUGGGACUGAGACGCGGCCCAGACUCCUACGGGAGGCAGCAGUGGGGAAUAUUGCACAAUGGGCGCAAGCCUGAUGCAGCAAUACCGCGUGUGUGAAGAAGGCCUCGGGUUGUAAAGCACUUUCAAUUGUGAGGAAAAGCUUUUGGUUAAUAACCUUGAGUCUUGACGUUAGCAAUACAAGAAGCACCGGCUAACUCCGUGCCAGCAGCCGCGGUAAUACGGAGGGUGCAAGCGUUAAUCGGAAUUACUGGGCGUAAAGAGUACGUAGGUGGUUUAUUAAGUCAGAUGUGAAAGCCCCGGGCUUAACCUGGGAACUGUAUUUGAUACUGGCAAACUAGAGUAUGGUAGAGGGGGGUAGAAUUCCUAGUGUAGCGGUGAAAUGCGUAGAUAUUAGGAGGAAUACCAGUGGCGAAGGCGGCCCCCUGGACCAAUACUGACACUGAGGUACGAAAGCGUGGGUAGCGAACAGGAUUAGAUACCCUGGUAGUCCACGCCGUAAACGAUGUCAACUAGCCGUUGGAACCUUGAGGUUUCAGUGGUGCAGCUAACGCGUGAAGUUGACCGCCUGGGGAGUACGGCCGCAAGGCUAAAACUCAAAUGAAUUGACGGGGGCCCGCACAAGCGGUGGAGCAUGUGGUUUAAUUCGAUGCAACGCGAAUAACCUUACCUACCCUUGACAUCAUCAGAACUUGUUAGAGAUAACUCGGUGCCUUCGGGAACUGAAUGACAGGUGCUGCAUGGCUGCCGUCAGCUCGUGUCGUGAGAUGUUGGGUUAAGUCCCGCAACGAGCGCAACCCUUAUCCUUAGUUGUCAGCACGUAAUGGUGGGAACUCUAAGGAGACUGCCGGUGAUAAACCGGAGGAAGGUGGGGAUGACGUCAAGUUAUCAUGGCCCUUAUGGGUAGGGCUACACACGUGCUACAAUGGCUAGUACAGAGGGCAGCAAACUCGCGAGAGUAAGCAAAUCCCAGAAAGCUGGUCGUAGUCCGGAUUGGAGUCUGCAACUCGACUCCAUGAAGUUGGAAUCGCUAGUAAUCGCGAAUCAGAAUGUCGCGGUGAAUACGUUCCCGGGCCUUGUACACACCGCCCGUCACACCAUGGGAGUGGGCUGCAAAAGAAGUGGGUAGCAUAACCUUCGGGAGUGCGCUCACCACUUUGUGGUUCAUGACUGGGGUGAAGUCGUAACAAGGUA
rnacentral:rRNA from 1 species